GGUCAAGCUACAAAGGGCUCACGGCGGAUACCUUGGCACACAGAGGCGAUGAAGGACGUGGUUACCUGCGAUAAGUCUCGGGGAGCUGGAAGCACGCUUUGAUCCGGGAAUUUCCGAAUGGGGCAACCCUUUUAUACGGCCAGCUGAAUACAUAGGCUGGCGCGAGCCAACCCAGCGAACUGAAACAUCUUAGUAGCUGGAGGAAAGGAAAGUAAAAACGACUCCCUAAGUAGCGGCGAGCGAACGGGGAAGAGCCUAAACCGAUGGUUUCGACCAUCGGGGUUGUGGGACAGCAACGUGUAUCAGGAAUGUUAGGAGAAGUGUUUGAAUGGCACGCCACAGAGGGUGAAAGCCCCGUAUCUGAAAACUGAACUGAGCUAGCUGUAUCCCGAGUAGCACGGAGCACGUGAAAUUCCGUGUGAAUCCGCGAGGACCACCUCGUAAGGCUAAGUACUACUGUGUGACCGAUAGCGAAACAGUACCGCGAGGGAAAGGUGAAAAGAACCCCGGGAGGGGAGUGAAAUAGAACAUGAAACCGUGAGCCUACAAGCAAUGGGAGCCCUACUCAUAGGGUGACCGUGUGCCUGUUGAAGAAUGAGCCGGCGACUUAUAGGCACUGGCGGGUUAAACCGGAAAUGGUGGAGCCAUAGCGAAAGCGAGUCUGAAUAGGGCGUUUGUCAGUGUUUAUAGACCCGAACCCGGGUGAUCUAACCAUGGCCAGGAUGAAGCUUGGGUGAUACCAAGUGGAGGUCCGAACCGACUGGCGUUGAAAAGCCAGCGGAUGAGCUGUGGUUAGGGGUGAAAUGCCAAUCGAACCCGGAGCUAGCUGGUUCUCCCCGAAAUACGUUGAGGCGUAGCGUCUCGUGCUCCAGCAGGGGGGUAAAGCCACCAUUUCGGUGCGGGCUGCGAGAGCGGUACCAAAUCGAGAUGAACUCUGAAUACCCUGUGUGUAGCGAGGCAGUCAGACUGUGGGGGAUAAGCUCCAUGGUCGAGAGGGAAACAGCCCAGACCGCCAGCUAAGGUCCCCAAAUCAACACUAAGUGAUAAAGGAGGUGGGAUUGCAUAGACAACCAGGAGGUUUGCCUAGAAGCAGCCAUCCUCAAAGGAGUGCGUAAUAGCUCACUGGUCGAGCGAUCCUGCACCGAAAAUGAAUGGGGCUAAGUGUUGUACCGAAGCUGCGGAUUUUAUGGUAGGGGAGCGUUCUAUGUGGGGCGAAGCAUUAGCGUGAGCGGAUGUGGACUGCAUAGAAGUGAGAAUGUCGGCUUGAGUAGCGAAAACAUGGGUGAGAAUCCCAUGCACCGAAACCCUAAGGGUUCCUCCGGCAGGCUCGUCCGCGGAGGGUUAGUCUGGACCUAAGGCGAGGCCGAAAGGCGUAGUCGAUGGAUAACAGGUCAACAUUCCUGUACCGGUCAUGUUUUGGGAAGAGGGACGGAGAAGGCUAGCCAAGCCAGAUGUUGGUUACUGGUUCAAGCGUUCGAGGCGUUGAGGAGCGGUGAAAACGUUCCGAGCUGAGGCGUGAGUACGAGCUGCUACGGCAGCGAAGUUGGUGACGUCAUGCUUCCAAGAAAAGCUCUAUACCCGUUAAGACAUGAUUGCCAGUACCCGAAACCGACACAGGUGGGGUGGUAGAGAAUACCGAGGUGCGCGAGGUAACUCUCUCUAAGGAACUCGGCAAAAUGGCCCCGUAACUUCGGGAGAAGGGGUGCCACAGCAAUGUGGUCGCAGUGAAGAGGCCCUGGCGACUGUUUACCAAAAACACAGGUCUCCGCUAAGUCGCAAGACGAUGUAUGGGGGCUGACGCCUGCCCAGUGCCGGAAGGUUAAGGAAGCCGGUCAGCGUAAGCGAAGCUGGCGACUGAAGCCCCGGUGAACGGCGGCCGUAACUAUAACGGUCCUAAGGUAGCGAAAUUCCUUGUCGGGUAAGUUCCGACCCGCACGAAAGGCGUAACGAUCAGGGCGCUGUCUCGGAGAGAGGCUCGGCGAAAUAGAAUUGUCUGUGAAGAUGCGGACUACGUACACCUGGACAGAAAGACCCUAUGAAGCUUUACUGUAGCUUGGUAUUGUGUCCGGGCUCUGAAUGCGCAGGAUAGGUGGGAGAUGUUGAUCUCGUGCUCGUGGGUACGAGGGAGUCAAUGGUGAGAUACCACUCUUUCAGAGCUAGGAUUCUAACGUUCACCCGUUAUCCGGGGAGCGGACAGUAUCAGGUGGGCAGUUUGACUGGGGCGGUCGCCUCCUAAAAGGUAACGGAGGCGCGCAAAGGUUUCCUCAGGCUGGUUGGAAAUCAGCUGACGAGUGCAAAAGCAGAAGGAAGCUUGACUGUGAGACCUACAAGUCGAACAGGGACGAAAGUCGGCUUUAGUGAUCCGACGGUUCUGAGUGGAAGGGCCGUCGCUCAACGGAUAAAAGUUACUCUAGGGAUAACAGGCUGAUCUCCCCCAAGAGUUCACAUCGACGGGGAGGUUUGGCACCUCGAUGUCGGCUCAUCGCAACCUGGGGCUGAAGUCGGUCCCAAGGGUUGGGCUGUUCGCCCAUUAAAGCGGUACGCGAGCUGGGUUCAGAACGUCGUGAGACAGUUCGGUCCAUAUCCGGUGUACGCGUAGGAACAUUGAGAGGAUUUCUCCCUAGUACGAGAGGACCGGGAGGAACGCACCUCUGGUGUACCAGUUAUCGUGCCAACGGUAAACGCUGGGUAGCCAUGUGCGGAGUGGAUAACCGCUGAAAGCAUCUAAGUGGGAAGCCCACCUCAAGAUGAGUGUUCCCAUGGGGUAACCCAGUAAGGUCACGGGAAGAACACCCGUUGAUAGGCUCUACGUGGAAGUCCAGUAAUGGAUGCAGCGGAGGAGUACUAAUAGACCGAGGGCUUGACCAA
rnacentral:rRNA from 2 species